rnacentral:rRNA from 1 species
GAUUAACGCUGGCGGCGUGCAUGAGACAUGCAAGUCGAACGGUAGCAGGCCUUCGGGCGCUGACGAGUGGCGGACGGGUGAGUAACGCGUAGGAAUCUGCCUCAUAGUGGGGGACAACGUGGGGAAACUCACGCUAAUACCGCAUACGCCCUACGGGGGAAAGCGGGGGCUCUUCGGACCUCGCGCUAUGGGAUGAGCCUGCGUUAGAUUAGCUAGUUGGUAGGGUAAAGGCCUACCAAGGCGACGAUCUAUAGCUGGUCUGAGAGGACGAUCAGCCACACUGGGACUGAGACACGGCCCAGACUCCUACGGGUGGAG